CGGACGGGUGAGUAAUGUCUGGGAAACUGCCCGAUGGAGGGGGAUAACUACUGGAAACGGUAGCUAAUACCGCAUAACGUCGCAAGACCAAAGAGGGGGACCUUCGGGCCUCUUGCCAUCGGAUGUGCCCAGAUGGGAUUAGCUAGUAGGUGGGGUAACGGCUCACCUAGGCGACGAUCCCUAGCUGGUCUGAGAGGAUGACCAGCCACACUGGGACUGAGACACGGCCAG
rnacentral:rRNA from 1 species